rnacentral:rRNA from 1 species
AUGCCUGUACCAUAACCGACACAGGUGGGUAGGUAGAGUAUACUAAGGGGCGCGAGAUAACUCUCUCUAAGGAACUCGGCAAAAUGACUCCGUAACUUCGGGAGAAGGAGUGCCUUAUUUUUAAGGUUGCAAUAACAAGAUCCAAGCAACUGUUUAUCAAAAACACAGGUCUCCGCUAAGUCGUAAGACGAUGUAUGGGGGCUGACGCCUGCCCAGUGCCGGAAGGUUAAAGAAGUUGGUUAGCACUUGCGAAGCUGAUAACUGAAGCCCUGGUGAACGGCGGCCGUAACUAUAACGGUCCUAAGGUAGCGAAAUUCCUUGUCGGGUAAGUUCCGACCCGCACGAAAGGCGUAAUGAUUUGGAUACUGUCUCGGAGAGGGGCUCGGUGAACUAGACUUGUCUGUGAAGAUGCGGACUACCUGCACCUGGACAGAAAGACCCUAUGAAGCUUUACUGUAACUUGAAAUUGAAAUUGGACUUUACUUGCGCAGUAUAGGUGGGAGGCGUUGAAUUUAUUCUUGCGGGAAUUUAGGAGCCAUCAGUGAGAUACCACUCUGGUAAUGUUAGAUUUCUAACUUUGUAUCAUGAUCUGGUCAAAGAACAGUUUCAGGCGGGCAGUUUGACUGGGGCGGUCGCCUCCCAAAUGGUAACGGAGGCGUACAAAGGUUUCCUCUGAACGUGUAGAAAUCGUAUCUAGAGUGUAAAGGCAUAAGGAAGCUUGACUGUGAGACCUACAAGUCGAGCAGGGACGAAAGUCGGUCUUAGUGAUCUGACGGUGCUGAGUGGAAAGGCCGUCACUCAACGGAUAAAAGUUACUCUAGGAUAACAGGCUGAUCUCCCCCAAGAGUUCACAUCGACGGGGAGGUUUGGCACCUCGAUGUCGGCUCAUCGCAUCCUGGGGCGGUAGUACGUCCCAAGGGUUGGGCUGUUCGCCCAUGAAAGCGGUACGCGAGCUGGGUUCAGAACGUCGUGAGACAGCUCGGUCAAUAUCCGGUGUAGGCGUUAGAAUAUUGAGAGGAGCCUUCUUUAGUACGAGAGGACCGAGAAGGACAUACCUCUGGUGUACCAGUUAUCGUGCCAACGGUAAACGCUGGGUAGCCAUGUAUGGAGAGGAUAACCGCUGAAAGCAUCUAAGUGGGAAGCCCACCUCAAGAUAAGUAUUCUCAUCACAUAAGUGAGUAAGGUCACGGUAAGACUAACCGUUUAAUAGGCAUUAAGUAUAAAUAUAGCAAUAUAUGAGCUGAGAUGUGCUAACAGACCGAGGAC